GAGGGAUCUCCUAUGUUGGUCGAGCUGUGUAUAAUCUCUUCUGAUUGGAGGAGUUUCAAUUGCUCGACAGCGUGGAAUAUCACCUGUGCGACAUAGAAACAGAUUCCUUUGGUGGGAUUACCAUUGACUCGGUAAAAUUAAUGAUGAUGCUCACUUGCAUAGCUGCAGGAAGAUAGGAAUCCGAGUAAACUGGCUUCGAGAAGGCAGAUUCAAAUUUGGAACUAAAUGAAAGCCUGAGACAGCAAAGAAUUAUAAUAUUUAAAGAAAAGAUUCGUAAAUAAAAGGUUAAGAAUCGCUGCUUUAAAGGAUAAUUAAGAGGAAGGAAAAGUUCUCGUGGCAGAAAAUCGUCGGCCACGAUUCUUGAGAACGGUAGAACGACACAAGGGGCGGCUUAAACUUUGGUGAAACUUCUCUCUGAGAGUUAAUUAAAACUCGACCUUCUAUCUAUGUCAAAAUCUCUCUCUUCGAAUAAUCGCUAUCUUUCCUUUUCUCUCUCUCUGGAAAGAUCCUCUUCAACCUCUCGAACGUAUCCCGAACACUAGAGAAACACUAUUUCC